GAUGAACGCUGGCGGCGUGCCUAAUACAUGCAAGUCGAGCGAACAGAUAAGGAGCUUGCUCCUUUGAAGUUAGCGGCGGACGGGUGAGUAACACGUGGGUAACCUACCUAUAAGACUGGGGUAACUUCGGGAAACCGGAGCUAAUACCGGAUAACAUUUAGAACCGCAUGGUUCUAAAGUGAAAGAUGGUUUUGCUAUCACUUAUAGAUGGACCCGCGCCGUAUUAGCUAGUUGGUAAGGUAACGGCUUACCAAGGCGACGGUACGUAGCCGACCUGAGAGGGUGAUCGGCCACACUGGAACUGAGACACGGUCCAGACUCCUACGGGAGGCAGCAGUAGGGAAUCUUCCGCAAUGGGCGAAAGCCUGACGGAGCAACGCCGCGUGAGUGAUGAAGGGUUUCGGCUCGUAAAACUCUGUUAUUAGGGAAGAACAAAUGUGUAAGUAACUGUGCACAUCUUGACGGUACCUAAUCAGAAAGCCACGGCUAACUACGUG
rnacentral:rRNA from 1 species